UGCCAGCCGCCGCGGUAAUACGGAGGGGGUUAGCGUUGUUCGGAAUUACUGGGCGUAAAGCGCACGUAGGCGGAUCAGAAAGUAUGGGGUGAAAUCCCAGGGCUCAACCCUGGAACUACCUCAUAAACUCCUGGUCUAGAGUUCGAGAGAGGUGAGUGGAAUUCCGAGUGUAGAGGUGAAAUUCGUAGAUAUUGGGAGGAACACCAAUAGCGAAGGCAACUAGCUGGAACAUUCCUGACCCUCAGGGACGAAAGUGUGGGGAGCGAACAGGAUUAGAUA
rnacentral:rRNA from 1 species